rnacentral:tRNA from 1 species
AAUAUAUUAAUUAAAUAUUAAAAUAUUACUUUUAAGUAUUUAUUAUAAAUUAUUAAUUAUAAUAAUUAUUAUUAUUAUUAAUAAUAUAAUUUACUUAUAAUAAUAUUAUAAAUAUAACUAUAAAUUUAUUUUUAAACUAGGUUUUAAUAAGCUUUAAAUUUUAAUAAUAUUCUAAUAUUAAAAAUAAUAUUAUAAAAAAAAAUACUAAAAAUAAUAAUUUAAAUUAAAAAAUUAUUAUAAGUUA